rnacentral:rRNA from 1 species
GACGAACGCUGGCGGCGUGCCUAAUACAUGCAAGUCGAGCGAAGUUUUUCUGGUGCUUGCACCGGAAAAACUUAGCGGCGAACGGGUGAGUAACACGUAACGAACCUGCCUUAUAGACUGGGACUAAUGUUGGAAACGAUAGCUAAUAACGGAUAACAGCAUUAACUGCAUGGUUGAUGUUUGAAAGUUGGUUUUGCUAACACUAUGAGAUGGCUUUGCGGUGCAUUAGCUAGUUGGUGGGGUAAAGGCCUACCAAGGCGACGAUGCAUAGCCGACCUGAGAGGGUGAUCGGCCACACUGGGACUGAGCCACGGCCCAGACUCCUACGGGAGGCAGCAGUAGGGAAUCUUCCGCAAUGGGCGAAAGCCUGACGGAGCAACGCCGCGUGAGUGAAGAAGGAUUUCGGUUCGUAAAGCUCUGUUGUUAGGGAAGAAUGAUUGUGUAGUAACUAUACACAGUAGAGACGGUACCUAACCAGAAAGCCACGGCUAACUACGUG